rnacentral:rRNA from 1 species
CCUACGGGAGGCAGCAGUGGGGAAUAUUGGACAAUGGGCGCAAGCCUGAUCCAGCAAUGCCGCGUGAGUGAUGAAGGCCUUAGGGUCGUAAAGCUCUUUUACCAGGGAUGAUAAUGACAGUACCUGGAGAAUAAGCUCCGGCUAACUCCGUGCCAGCAGCCGCGGUAAUACGGAGGGAGCUAGCGUUGUUCGGAAUUACUGGGCGUAAAGCGUACGUAGGCGGUUAUUCAAGUCAGAGGUGAAAGCCCGGGGCUCAACCCCGGAACGGCCUUUGAAACUAGGUAGCUAGAAUCUUGGAGAGGUCAGUGGAAUUCCGAGUGUAGAGGUGAAAUUCGUAGAUAUUCGGAAGAACACCAGUGGCGAAGGCGACUGACUGGACAAGUAUUGACGCUGAGGUACGAAAGCGUGGGGAGCAAACAGGAUUAGAUACCCUGGUAGUCCACGCCGUAAACGAUGAUAACUAGCUGUUCGGGCACUUGGUGCUUGAGUGGCGCAGCUACGCAUUAAGUUAUUCCGUCCGUGGGUAGGUACGGUCGCGAAGAAUUAAACUACAAAGAAGUAGACGGCGNGAGACGUGCCGACGGACGACGACGAGGGAGUAGG